UACGUAGGGGCAAGCGUUGUCCGGAAUCACUGGGCGUAAAGCGCAUGUAGGCGGGAUAUUAAGUCAGGUGUGAAAACUAUGGGCUCAACCUGUAGAUUGCAUCUGAAACUGGUAUUCUUGAGUAUUGGAGAGGAAAGUGGAAUUCCUAGUGUAGCGGUGAAAUGCGUAGAUAUUAGGAGGAACACCAGUGGCGAAGGCGACUUUCUGGCCAAAACUAGACGCUGAGAUGCGAAAGCGUGGGGAGGCAAACAGGAUUAGAUACCCU
rnacentral:rRNA from 1 species